GGGUGUUUAACUCAGUAGUAGAGUACUUGCCUAGCAUGUGUGAAGCCCUGGGUUCAAUUCCCAGAACUACCA
rnacentral:tRNA from 1 species